rnacentral:rRNA from 1 species
UACGGGAGUGGCAAGCGUUAUCCGGAAUUAUUGGGCGUAAAGCGUCCGCAGGCGGUCUGUCAAGUCUGCUGUUAAAGCGUGGAGCUUAACUCCAUUUCGGCAGUGGAAACUGACAGACUAGAGUGUGGUAGGGGCAGAGGGAAUUCCCGGUGUAGCGGUGAAAUGCGUAGAUAUCGGGAAGAACACCAGUGGCGAAGGCGCUCUGCUGGGCCAUAACUGACGCUCAUGGACGAAAGCCAGGGGAGCGAAAGGGAUUAGAUACCCCUGUAGUCCUGGCCGUAAACGAUGAACACUAGGUGUCGGGGGAAUCGACCCCCUCGGUGUCGUAGCCAACGCGUUAAGUGUUCCGCCUGGGGAGUACGCACGCAAGUGUGAAACUCAAAGGAAUUGACGGGGGCCCGCACAAGCGGUGGAGUAUGUGGUUUAAUUCGAUGCAACGCGAAGAACCUUACCAGGGUUUGACAUCCUGCGAAUCUCUUGGAAACGAGAGAGUGCCUUCGGGAACGCAGUGACAGGUGGUGCAUGGCUGUCGUCAGCUCGUAUCGUGAGAUGUUGGGUUAAGUCCCGCAACGAGCGCAACCCACGUCGUUAGUUGCCAGCAUUUAGUUGGGCACUCUAGCGAGACCGCCGGUGAUAAACCGGAGGAAGGUGUGGAUGACGUCAAGUCAUCAUGCCCCUUACAUCCUGGGCUACACACGUACUACAAUGCUACGGACAAAGGGCAGCAAACUCGCGAGAGCUAGCAAAUCCCAUAAACCGUGGCUCAGUUCAGAUCGUAGGCUGCAACUCGCCUACGUGAAGGAGGAAUCGCUAGUAAUCGCAGGUCAGCAUACUGCGGUGAAUACGUUCCCGGGCCU